UGAGGCUUCUAAACAAGCUGCCCUCCCGCCGCAUCUUCUGCGGCCCAACCGCCCUCGGCGACCCCGGGCUCGGUGGAUCUCCGCCUGGCCUCUCCCGCUCCACUGGGCUGCGACUCCCGCCGCCGCCAUGGCAGAGUUGGGCCUAAAUGAGCACCAUCAAAAUGAAGUUAUCAAUUACAUGCGAUUUGCUCGUUCAAAAAGAGGCCUGAGACUCAAAACUGUAGAUUCCUGCUUCCAAGACCUCAAGGAGAGCAGGCUAGUGGAGGAGACCUUCACCGUAGAUGAGGUCUCCGAGGUCCUGAGUGGGCUGCAGGCUGUGGUCUACAGUGAGGUGGAGUCUGAACUCAUCAACACGGCCCACACCAACGUGCUACUUCUGCGGCAGCUUUUCUCACAGGCCGAGAAGUGGUACCUCAAGCUACAGACAGAUAUCUCUGAACUCGAAAACAGAGAAUUAUUAGAACAAGUUGCAGAAUUUGAAAAAGCAGAAUUUACAUCUUCAAAUAAAAAGCCCAUCAUAGAUACCAUGAAGCCAAAACUUGUUCCACUUAACGACGGUGGAACCACGGAACUUCUGAACAAGGAAAUUUCAAGACUUCAAGAAGAGAACGAGAAAUUGAAGUCAAGGCUGAAGACCAUUGAAAUACAGGCAACGCAAGCAUUAGAUGAGAAGUCAAAGCUAGAAAGAGCACUACAGGAUUUACAGCUUGACCAAGGAAAUACAAAGGAUUUUAUAAAAGCCCAAGACUUGAAUGACUUGGAAAACACAGUUGCUGCUUUGAAGAGUGAGUUUCAGAAGACACUUAACGACAAGACAGAAAGUCAGAAGUCCCUGGAGGAGAAUCUGGUGACAGCCAAGCAUGACCUACUCAGGGUUCAGGAGCAGCUGAGCAUGGCUGAAAAGGAAUUAGAAAAGAAAUUCCAACAAACAGCAGCUUUUCGAAACAUGAAAGAGAUUCUCACCAGGAAGAAUGACCAAAUCAAAGACCUGAGGAGAAGACUGGCCAAGUAAGCCUUGCUGACUGUUGGAUUUGCCUCGCUGCCAGGUUGACGUGUGUUCUUCAUUAAAUCUCAGUACGAACCUGAAGAUUAAAACUCAAAGAAGAUCUCUUCUGGAAGCUGCCACACGUGAAAGUACAAGCUGUUUCACACCUCAGGCAUGUAUUUUGAAGCAGUUUGUUAAUCUUCCCUCUCUUUAUUUUUCUAAUAUAUAGACUUUGCUUCAAAUAUUUAGAACUAGACUUCCUAUUUUAGUUAUGUAAUUGAGAAGAGGGGACCUUCUGACUGAUUCUGGCCAGACGUCCUCUGCCGAGUGCUCCAGAGUUUUAGUUUCAAUGCAAUGAGAAUUCUUUAUAGUAAAAAAGAUGUUUAGAGUGGGAAGAAGAGCCUUGGCCUUUUACAUUAGUAGAAAGAGUGUACACCGUUUCAUUAAAUGUUAAAGCUAGCAUCAUCUAUUCUUGUGCAUUCCCCCAGUGUAAAAAUAAAAACAGUUAUUAAAAGAUAGUUAUUACAAAAUAAACCUUAUUUUUCAAAACCA